rnacentral:rRNA from 1 species
AUUGAACGCUGGCGGCAUGCCUUACACAUGCAAGUCGAACGGUAACAGGUUAAGCUGACGAGUGGCGAACGGGUGAGUAAUAUAUCGGAACGUGCCCAGUCGUGGGGGAUAACUGCUCGAAAGAGCAGCUAAUACCGCAUACGACCUGAGGGUGAAAGCGGGGGAUCGCAAGACCUCGCGCGAUUGGAGCGGCCGAUAUCAGAUUAGGUAGUUGGUGGGGUAAGAGCCCACCAAGCCAACGAUCUGUAGCUGGUCUGAGAGGACGACCAGCCACACUGGGACUGAGACACGGCCCAGACUCCUACGGGAGGCAGCAGUGGGGAAUUUUGGACAAUGGGCGCAAGCCUGAUCCAGCCAUGCCGCGUGCGGGAAGAAGGCCUUCGGGUUGUAAACCGCUUUUGUCAGGGAAGAAAAGGUUCUGGUUAAUACCUGGGACUCAUGACGGUACCUGAAGAAUAAGCACCGGCUAACUACGUGCCAGCAGCCGCCGUAA